CUCCCACAGGAUAUUUGGCAAUGACUGUAGACAAUUUUAGUGAUCACAACUGGGGUGGGAGGUAGGGAGGGGGUGUUAACUAGAAUUAAGUGAGAAGAGACCAAAGAUGCUCAGCUAAACACCCUACCAUGCAUAGGACAGCGCCCCCUACCCACAACAAAGAAUUAGCUGGCCAAAAAGUGUCACUAGGGCUGAAAUUGAGAAACUCCGCUCCACAUGAACCACAAAUAAAAGGAAGAAAUUCAGGAGACGACCCACAGACCCUCUGAAGGAAGUGGACUGCUCCUGCAGGACCCGGGAGACACCACAAAUACAGUGAGUGCCCAACUGUGGAAGUGGGAAAGGGAGACCCUCCUCUCCUGAACACACGGCCCCACAGGGGAGGCUGAAGGUCUGUUUGCGGAUAAGUUUCCGACCUUACCUGGAGCUGAGCCAAUUUUGAGAGCUGAAAUGCAGGGGUAGAGGAAGCAGCAGAAACGCCCUGGGAGCUCGCUAUGUCCCCUUGCUAGGGACAUUCCUUCCUGGCACCACAGAGAUCCAUCAGGGGACACAAGAGGCGAUUUCAAGAAACACUAAUAGGAUUGUGAGAAAGUUGGCCAAGGAAGAGGAACAGCCAAUAAACGGUGACUUGUCAAGACAGUUAGGACCCUGGGAGCUAAAUCUGCCUGGAGAACUCUGGAAAUCAGUGUGGAACACAUACUUCAGCAUCAUCUCAGCUAAUGGACAAGUAAGCUUUCUGACUGAAGCCCAUGUUUUGACUGGAGCACCUUGAUUAAACAGAAGACCCUCUGAGGAAACACCACAGACAAAAGUGUACAUGGUAAAUAUUCCUCCAAGAUUUCCCAAAGGAUCAUAUGGCUGUUUUCCAUCAUGAUAGAAAGCAAGAAGAAAAUAUAAAAUAAGCUUUCAGCAAUUUAAAAUGCAGCAGAAGGAGUUACAUGCCAUUUUCCAGAAAAAAAUAUCAACCUGUAGCAGAUUUGCAAUCUGAACCUGAGCUCUGCAUGGACAUUGCCAAACUUCAAGCCAGCAAAUCAAGCUGAGAGAACAUCUCCUGAGGUCCCUGCCUCCUGCCUCACAUCUCGUACAUCUUGAUUACCUUGCUGAGGCUGCUCUAUUGACCUUAAGCCAGCCUCACAGCAGAGAAAAGAUUUCCAGAAAGACUUUUAUUUAUCAUUCUGUGGAAGGAAACUUUGGCUAUAGUUGAUGAGAAUUAAUUUGUCUCCCUUGUCACCUCCAUGCAAAAUGCAAUUCUGAAUAGUUUCUUAGUAGAUGGUCCAGAGACUUCAAGAGAUCUAGCAAUUAGCUCUUAGCAAGUGGAUGCUUUAGUAAGUGGCUUUGACAUAGCCUCAAAUGUUUCUAUGUCCUUUCAUAACUUAAUCCUAGCCUUGUCUUGCUCUCCUGUUAUUUAGAAUUGCAUGCAAACCUAGUAUCAGGCUCUGCUUUCAGGUGAAGCUGGGCUAUAUAUAUAUAUAUAUAUAUAUAUAUAUAUAAUUUUUUUUUGCAUAUUGACACUCUAAAAGUGUUACAGCAGCAUACCCCUUCCCUGUGUUCAAGGCAAUUUGAUAACUUAUUUCCAUGCCGAGCUCAUUGAGAGCUCAUUAUGAACAUAUUCUGAAGAGAGAGGGUCCCAUCUGAAGUGUCAUGAAGAUGCCAUCCUGUUCCUAAAGACAUUCAUUCAUUGGUAUGCAUCUGAAAUUAGAAUUAUGAUGAAAAUAAAAAUAAUACUGUGUGAAUUUCUAUGCCAAGAUGUUAUAUAUUUUGCUAAAUUUAUUCCUCAUAUUCAAUGUGUAUAAUGCUAUGUGAUUGGUAGCAUAAAAUAGCUUUGUUAUUA
rnacentral:lncRNA from 10 species